UAGGGAAUCUUCGGCAAUGGGGGGAACCCUGACCGAGCAACGCCGCGUGAGUGAAGAAGGUUUUCGGAUCGUAAAGCUCUGUUGUUAAGGAAGAACGAGUGUGAGAAUGGAAAGUUCAUACUGUGACGGUACUUAACCAGAAAGGGACGGCUAACUACGUGCCAGCAGCCGCGGUAAUACGUAGGUCCCGAGCGUUGUCCGGAUUUAUUGGGCGUAAAGCGAGCGCAGGCGGUUAGAUAAGUCUGAAGUUAAAGGCAGUGGCUCAACCAUUGUAGGCUUUGGAAACUGUUUAACUUGAGUGCAGAAGAAGAGAGUGGAAUUCCAUGUGUAGCGGUGAAAUGCGUAGAUAUAUGAAGGAACACCGGUGGCGAAAGCGGCUCUCUGGUCUGUAACUGACGCUGAGGCUCGAAAGCGUGGGGAGCGAACAGG
rnacentral:rRNA from 1 species